CGGGGGGGGCAGGGCAGCGCUGCCAAGAGGCCGCCGCUUCCUCUGCGUGCGAGUGCAGGAAGACGGGGGAGGGGACAGCCUAGGCACGAACAAAAUGCCGACCGGAAGUGCAGUUGCAGGAAUGACUCCCUCCACCGGCGCCAAACACUAACAGCCUCCCCCUUUCCUUUACCGCCUCCUUCUCGCUCGCUCAGCGAGCGCCGCUUCCGCUGUCGCCACUGCGCUGCUCCACGUCGUUCCCCUCCCGGCUUUGCCGCAGCUGGAGAGACUCCCUCUGUCUCGCCGCGCUUGUCGGCGGCGGGCACAACUGAAUUUCCGCUGCGCGGUUGUCUCUCCCUAUCUCCACCUCUGCAACUGCCGCCUGAGUUUCUCUUUCUUUUAUUUUCCUUUCUGGUGUACGAAACGUGAUCGGAGUUUACGCUCAGACCUGCGCUGAGACGAAGGCAGUCAGCGAUUCGUGAAGAAGUGACCGUUGAAAAAACAAACAAACAAACAAAAUGUUUUGAGUUUAUUUUUGUCUGCCUUGAGGAUGGUGGGAAGGAGGACCGCAAAUGACUGCAAAAAGCCGCCUCGCAGGAGGCAUACUUAAAAACGCGCCUUAUAAUAAAACCACAAAGGUGGCAGUCCCCCUCCGGCCCAGCGAGUGAGGAAACACCCGAUGCUGAAAGUGAUGGGGUGAGGAAUUUCCAGGUGGACAUAUCGAAUUGGAGUGGCUUUUAAAAACAACCUUUUUGGACGAGCACGGGGAAAAAUGCAGAUCUUGAGGUGAAGGGUCCUAUGCUGGAGGUUGAUGCUCACCACCACCACGAGAUUUACUGGAAAUAUUUUAAAUCUGGGUUGUGAAGGACUGUUUGGAGAAAGAGAAUGUCCUAGUAUGAAAGAUUUUGUUUAUCCUCUAUACAGGCAAAACUGAAUAAUCAUACCACAGGAUAAUAGUGAAGAAGCAUUUACAUUUAAUGAUUUAACUGUCUUCUCAUACUCACUUCUGCUGUGAGUGUGUGCUCCUCAAUACUUCGACAAAAAUCCUUUGAUGUUUAAAGGAAGCCUUGCUCGACUGUGGACUUCAGGAUUCAGCCAUGCAAUUGGACACAACUAGCUGUAAAUAUCCUGUGACAUAAACAGAUCCUUUAAGUUCUGGAUGGAUAAAGAGGUAUCUUACACCAAUGCACUUGAAUUUUUCAGUCUUAUAAUUUUCUGUAUAAUGGUCUGUCUUUAAGGCAGAUUUUAAAUGCAUCUCUCAAGCCUAACUAUUAAAUUUGUAAUGUUGGAUGAAUCAAAGUUCAAUUUACAAGUGUGUUUGAAAGUACAGAAAUGAAAAUGGCACUGGAGAAUAUGGUAAUUCAGUACUGGAAAUACUUAUAUCUAAUGUGUAUAUAUGCUCAUGUAAAUUUAAUGGAGAUGGUGUAAACCAGGCUCUGAAAAUAUGUAUUAUAUACCUUUGUUGCAACUUAAUAUAAAAGGUCCUAAUCCUAUAUUUGUUUAUACAUUUAAAAUUUCAAGUUAUCCAUUUGAAAUAAAGGAGAAUAAUUGGUGAAGUAGAUGAAGCAUGUUCAUAAAUCUUUGUGCUUAAUUUAAUACAGUGCAACUCUGUAAAUCAAGGGGGAUUUUUUUUUUUUCAUAAUAAACUAAAGUUUAAUAAACUGUCUCUUUAGAGUCCACACGCAUGUAUGGACAUACAGGACUUACGCACCUAUGAAUUCAAAGGAAAAUGUUAUUCUAACAUGACAAAGUUGGCCUAGGAAUACUAUUUCAAUCUACUUCUAACAUAUUGUUACCGAUUCAUGUUGUUGGAAUCUUUAUGUGAUUUCAUUAAUUUAUAUAAAGAUUUUUUUUUUCUUAAUUGGUGAUUUAGAUACUGCAAUUUUAUUUUUUAAAUGCCAGGUGUUUUCCAUAUCAAAUAUGGUUUAGCCAGUGCAAUCAUCGUGGUAAGACACACCUAUUUGGCUAUUCCGUUUUAGUCAGAAUUUUCCAGUGAGAAUGUCACUAGCCCAUUUUAUGCUUUUAAAAUCUUGUUUAACUGAAGGAAUUUGUAGAAAUGGCUAUUUUGUUUGAAUACUAUGAUGUUACUACCUGCAUGAGAAAGCAACUAAUUUAUUAGUUGAUUUAGAAGAUGUUAUUGUAACAUGUUUGAGCAAAUGAGGAAUUUUAUUUCCUUAAGGGAAAUUAAUUUAUUGGUUUUUUUUAUUAUUAUUAUUCCUUUAGAUAUUAUUUUAAUCCAUUUUUUAAAAUGAAAGUUCAAAUUCUUCAAUUGUGUUUAUACAAGUGGUUCCCUGUAUUCCUUUUGUCUUCAAAGGUUUACUCACAAAAAAUGAUUGCAGAAUGAAAGCUCACAUUACUAAAAAUAUUUUAGUAUGCAUGGGGUGUAUCUCAUUAUAUGUGAAAUAGCCAAAAAAAAUGGAUAAAAAUUAGUAUUUCGGAAUAUUAUCAGAAAACAUAUCAAAAGAGACUUUAAACCUUAUUUCUGUUCCAGGCCUUAGUCAUAGGGCAGAGGUAGUUCUAAUCUGUAUGGGAGGAGGUAUGCAGUCAACCGUGACUGUGGCACACUAAGGAGUGUACACUGAACUAAACAAAGCUGCUGGCAGUACGGAAGAGGGCAAAGCUAUCUAAAAUCCCCGGAUAAAUCCACACCUGGUUAUGAAAAUGAACUGCAAAUUUCAGGGUAAAGCUUUAGAACCUAAUCCCGAUGCCUUUGAAGUCAAAGGAGAAUGUGUCUUUUGCUCUAAAUAAAUGACUGAGCUCCCAUAAAUCUAAA